rnacentral:rRNA from 1 species
UACGAAGGGGGCUAGCGUUGUUCGGAAUUACUGGGCGUAAAGCGCACGUAGGCGGACAUUUAAGUCAGGGGUGAAAUCCCAGAGCUCAACUCUGGAACUGCCUUUGAUACUGGGUGUCUUGAGUAUGGAAGAGGUGAGUGGAAUUCCGAGUGUAGAGGUGAAAUUCGUAGAUAUUCGGAGGAACACCAGUGGCGAAGGCGGCUCACUGGUCCAUUACUGACGCUGAAGCGCGAAAGCUAGGGGAGCAAACAGG